UACGUAGGGCGCAAGCGUUAUCCGGAAUUAUUGGGCGUAAAGAGCUCGUAGGCGGUUUGUCGCGUCUGCCGUGAAAAUCCGAGGCCAUCCACCGCGUAUCAGUGGGUACGGGCAGACUAGAGUGUGGUAGGGGAGACUGGAAUUCCUGGUGUAGCGGUGGAAUGCGCAGAUAUCGGGAAGAACACCCGUGGCGAAGGCGGUUCUCUGGGACGGUACUGACGCUGAGACGCGAAAGCGUGGGGAGCGAACAGG
rnacentral:rRNA from 1 species